CAGCUUGAAGCCUGAGUAGCAGUGAAUUUAUCCAAAUUUAUUAUCAGAAUGUGGAAAAAGCAAUAAGGAUUCUAGUGGCCUAAAAUAGGAUUCAAAAAUGAAAGGCUCAGCAGAAAAGAUUGAAAGGGAAGAGGACAUUGUGGUCUACACAUGCAAUCCAGGAGCCUGAAAGUCUGAAGACCUGCUUGCCUCGGCUGAUCAUAUCCCACCCCUGCAACAACAUGCCCCCCUCUCCCCACCUGCCUGCAUUCCCAUUAUCCCUAAUCACCCAGCAAAGCUUCCCCGGAGAAGCCCCUCACCCCACCCUGCCAUCUGUUAUUAUGAUAAUGUGACUACUCCUCACCCGACUCUACCAUCUUAACUAAUCUUAUCCUACCUGCCAUUAUAACUAAACUUAUGGUAAUGUACACUCUUUGCCCCUACCCCAUCUACUGUAACUGAUCUUACUCUGUAACUUUCCACUGCCAACCCCAAACCUAUAAAACCAACUCCAAUCCCACUGCCCCCUUUUCGGCCUUAGCCCACCUGCACCCAGCUGAAUAAACAGCCAUGUUGCUCACA
rnacentral:lncRNA from 13 species